CAUCCGUGAGCCCUUCCUGUUUCCUUUAGCUGGCCGAUCUUAAACUAGACCGCCACGAAAUGGAGCCCUGAGACCCACUCUCGGUUUUCGGAUUUGGUGCUGGGAUGAUCUAGAAGGGCUCAAGAGGCUCCCAUCUCCCAAACUGAAGACCUGGCCCCUCUCCUUCAAGUUUACAGUGGCUGAUGCAGCUGAGCGAGGAGCAGCUCUGGGGCCUGGGAGGGGAACAUCUCACUACAGGCAACGCUGGCUCCCCACUGCUGAAGAAGCUGGAAAUGGAUCUCUGUGGUUUUGAGCCAUUGCAGUUUCAAGUCUGCUGAUGACAGUGGCUGAACCUACACUAACACACAGAAUUCUGCCAACAACAAUAGCUCUGGGACAAAAUACAGACUGCCUUUUACUGAGACAUAUGUGAGGUCUGUGUGCCUGCAAUAGCUUCACCUACAUUCUAAGGCCUGGAAGAGCAGGGCUGUGAUUUGUGCUUCAGUAUUUAGGACAGCAUUUGCCUUUUCCCCUAGUUUAGUUAUGGAAGCAUUUGUGUAAGUCCUGGGUUCCUUCUUCCUUAAAUGUUUGAAAGGAUUCACUGGAAAACCCUUUCUGGCCUGAAUUUGUGUGUGUGAAGGUUUUCAAUCGAGUAUUUAAUUUCUCUAAUGCUUGUUACAAGUGAUCUCUUUGUCUGAUUAUUCUAUGUCAUUCUAAAGCACAAUCUUUAAAAAGUUGUGCUUUUCUGGGAAUCUGUCUGUCUUAUCUAAUGAUGCAAAUUCACUGACAUAAAGUUGUUCUGUUAUUAGAGAUUUUAUGAGCUGUGUGGUCUGUACUGAUGUUGCCUUCCAUGUUAUCUUGGUAGCUGAAAUUGUCUUUUUUCUUUUCUUUUUCAAAAAAAUCAGACUCUCCAGGGGUUUAUUUAAUUAAUUAUUCAAUUAAUUUGUUUUAAGAAACAACUCUUGACUUGAUUGACUGUCUCUACUAAACACUUGCUUCUAUUUCACUGAUUUCUGCCUGUGCACUUAUGUUGUUUUCUAAUUCUUGUACUGAAGCACUUAGCAUGGUGCCGGGUAGAGAGUAACUUAAACGUUAGCAUCACCACUGUAAAGAAAAGCCUCAACUCAGGGUGUCUGUUAUAAGAGAUUGUUAAACAUUAGAACUUUCACAACUUCUUUGGUGAUGAGGUCUCAGAAAACAUUAAAUCCAUUUGACCCAUUCAAACUUUUACUAUUAUCAUUAUACAUUAAAUCCAUGUAUAUUUGAAAGCAUAUGAAUAUAUAUAUUUGAAAACAUACAAAUAAAUAUAAAUUUAUUAAUAUAAUAUGUAUUUGUAUUUAAUAUACAUAUAUUCUUUUCAUUACUUAUUAUUCCUUAUCUUUGUGCUUCCACCUGGAGAUAUAAUCCCUCUGCUGAAAAAUCCCCUUAGUAUUUUAUUUACUGUAGAUCUUUCAGUAGUAAAUGAUCUCCAUUUAUGUGUAUGUAAAAAUGUUUACUUUCACCUUCACGUCUGAAGCAUUGGGCAGAAACUUCCUUUUACUACUUUGAAGUGGUUAUUCAUUGCCUUCUAGCUUGUAUUAUUCUGCUGAAGCAUUAGCUAAUUGUAUUAUUGUUGCUUGUUUGGGAGGAAAUUGCUUUUCUUUGUUUGCUCUUAAGUUCUAGUAUUUGAAAGUACAAUAGGAAAAUUACAGCAACUAUAAUACAAUUUUUUAGUAAAUAUAGUACAAUUUUUCUCUUCUAGUUAUUUUGAAAUAUAUAAUAAAUAAGACAUAAUACAUGUACAGAAUGUGUAAUGACCACAUCAGCAUAAUCGGGAUCUCCAUCACCUCAGACAUUUAUAUUUUGUUUGUGUUGGGAACGUUACUAUUUUUCUCUUCUAGUUAUUUUGAAUGUAUAAUAAAUAAUAAUUAUAUAUUUAAAAUAUUGUGUAUAAUAAUUAUAUUUGUCAAAAUAACUAGAAAAGAAAAAUUGAAAGUUUCCAACACGAAGAAAAUGUGUCUGAGGUGAUGGAGAUCCCGAUUACACUGAUGUGGUCAUUACAUGUUCUGUACGUGUAUCACAACCAUAUGUAUCCCCAAAAUACGUAAAAC
rnacentral:lncRNA from 10 species